AGGGAUUGCCUUAGUAACGGCGAGUGAAGCGGCAACAGCUCAAAUUUGAAAUCUGGCUCUUUUAGAGUCCGAGUUGUAAUUUGCAGAGGGCGCUUUGGCGUUGGCAGCGGUCCAAGUUCCUUGGAACAGGACGUCACAGAGGGUGAGAAUCCCGUACGUGGUCGCUAGCCAUCGCCGUGUAAAGCCCCUUCGACGAGUCGAGUUGUUUGGGAAUGCAGCUCUAAAUGGGAGGUAAAUUUCUUCUAAAGCUAAAUACUGGCCAGAGACCGAUAGCGCACAAGUAGAGUGAUCGAAAGAUGAAAAGCACUUUGGAAAGAGAGUCAAAUAGCACGUGAAAUUGUUGAAAGGGAAGCGCUUGCAGCCAGACUUGCCUGUAGUUGCUCAUCCGGGCUUUUGCCCGGUGCACUCUUCUGCGGGCAGGCCAGCAUCAGUUUGGGCGGUUGGAUAAAGGUCUCUGUCAUGUACCUCUCUUCGGGGAGAACUUAUAGGGGAGACGACAUACAACCAGCCUGGACUGAGGUCCGCGCAUUUGCUAGGAUGCUGGCGUAAUGGCUGUAAGCGGCCCGUCUUGAAACACGGACCAAGGAGUCUAACAUCUAUGCGAGUGUUUGGGUGUCAAGCCCGAGCGCGUAAUGAAAGUGAACGGAGGUGGGACCCCUUUUAGGGUGCACCAUCGACCGAUCCUGAUGUCUUCGGAUGGAUUUGAGUAAGAGCAUGGCUGUUGGGACCCGAAAGAUGGUGAACUAUGCUUGAAUAGGGUGAAGCCAGAGGAAACUCUGGUGGAGGCUCGCAGCGGUUCUGACGUGCAAAUCGAUCGUCAAAUUUGGGCAUAGGGGCGAAAGACUAAUCGAACUAUCUAGUAGCUGGUUCCUGCCGAAGUUUCCCUCAGGA
rnacentral:rRNA from 1 species